UACUUCAACUUCAGCUUCACUUAGGGAGAC
rnacentral:piRNA from 1 species